rnacentral:rRNA from 1 species
GAUCCUGGCUCAGGAUGAACGCUAGCGGGAGGCCUAAUACAUGCAAGUCGAGCGGUAGAGUGACUUCGGUUGCUUGAGAGCGGCGAACGGGUGAGUAACGCGUACACAAUCUACCUUUAAGAGGGGAAUAGCCCUGGGAAACUGGGAUUAAUGCCCCAUGGCAUCACGAGACGGCAUCGUUUUGUGAUUAAAGCUGAGGUGCUUAGAGAUGAGUGUGCGUCUGAUUAGCUAGUUGGUGCGGUAACGGCGCACCAAGGCGACGAUCAGUAGGGGGCGUGAGAGCGUGGACCCCCACACGGGUACUGAGACACGGACCCGACUCCUACGGGAGGCAGCAGUAAGGAAUAUUGGUCAAUGGAGGAAACUCUGAACCAGCCAUCCCGCGUGCAGGAAGAAUGCCCUAUGGGUUGUAAAGCUCUUUCAGCAGGAACGAAACGGUGGUCCCUAAUACGGACUACUAAUGACGGUACCUGAAGAAGAAGCACCGGCUAACUACGUG